UACGGAGGGUCCAAGCGUUAUCCGGAAUCAUUGGGUUUAAAGGGUCCGUAGGCGGUUUUUUAAGUCAGUGGUGAAAGCCCAUCGCUCAACGGUGGAACGGCCAUUGAUACUGCAAGACUUGAAUUAUUAGGAAGUAACUAGAAUAUGUAGUGUAGCGGUGAAAUGCUUAGAGAUUACAUGGAAUACCAAUUGCGAAGGCAGGUUACUACUAAUGGAUUGACGCUGAUGGACGAAAGCGUGGGGAGCGAACAGG
rnacentral:rRNA from 1 species